AAAUUGAAGAGUUUGAUCAUGGCUCAGAUUGAACGCUGGCGGCAGGCCUAACACAUGCAAGUCGAACGGUAGCACAGAGAGCUUGCUCUCGGGUGACGAGUGGCGGACGGGUGAGUAAUGUCUGGGAAACUGCCUGAUGGAGGGGGAUAACUACUGGAAACGGUGGCUAAUACCGCAUAACGUCGCAAGACCAAAGAGGGGGACCUUCGGGCCUCUUGCCAUCAGAUGUGCCCAGAUGGGAUUAGCUAGUU
rnacentral:rRNA from 2 species